rnacentral:lncRNA from 1 species
UUUUUAAGUUUAAAAACAGUGUACAUUAAAUCCUAUUAUUUAGCUAUAAAUAAAUAUAAAAAUGACUGAGUCUCAUAUAACAAAACUAAAAAAAUUAUGUCGAAUAUGCGGAGAAAAACUUGGAAAUCAUAGUGUUCUUUUAACAAAGCAUGUAGUUAGAAUAGAAUUGAAUUUUUUUAUACGAAUCGACGAGGAUGACCCAAAGAUGCACCCACAGAAGAUGUGUUACAGAUGCUUUACAAUAAUGAGAAACAUAGAAAAAGGUUCAAAUACUGAUCUUAAAUUAAGAACUUGGAUUAGCAAUUGCCAGAAAGAUGAAUGUAUUUGUUUCAAAGUAAAUAAAGGAAGGAAACCAAAGAAAACUGUAAAAGGAAGGCCCUUAAGUAUUGUAAAUGAAGAAAUUUGGACUCAACAAGCAAUAAAUAACAUACAAGCUAAACUUUCAUCUCUACCAAAUUUAAAUCUGAAACUAUAAGACAUUAACCAAAAAUUAAACCCACAUGUACAUCUUUGUGUCUGUUAUAUUUGUAAUGGUAUUAUGUAUAAGCCAGUUAUUUUAAAAAACUGUCUGCAUUCGUUUUGUGCACCAUGUAUAUUACCACUAAUCAAUGGUAAACUAUUAUUUAAAACAAAAUGCCCUAAAUGCUCCUUUUCAAUUUCAAUUGAUGGAAUAACCUCCUCUAGCAAUGUUAUUGAAAUGAUAAAUAAUAUUCAAGAAGAAUGUAAGCAACAUUGCGGUAGAUUAUUUAAAGUGUCACAACAAUCAGACUCCAAUACCAAUUUCCACAACCUUGUCAACACCCUCAUCACAAACAACUCUAACAGAUAUAUUUGCAUUAAAUUCAACAAGUGUUAUCACAAGGGAUAUUGAUGCUGUUGCACUUCAUAUUAUUAAACAAAAAAUGUUGCAAACAACAUCCAAUGUAAUAGAAUUUCAGACAGAUGGACCAAGGCCUUUAUGCUUCACAUCAACACCAAAAGCCUAUAAAGAAAGUAAAGAUGCAACUUUACGAACAGUUCGCAAACGACAAUCACAGUUAAACGAUUACAUAAGCACAACAUGUGGUGGAAGCAUUAGGUCCAAAAUCAACCAAACCACUACUCUUUUGAAAUCAUUCAAUGAAAAUGAACAAGAAAUUAUUCUAAGUAACUCAAAUAUUUCAAAAACCAAAAUAUCAGCUGAAGAAAUAAUAAGUUUAAAAGCUAACAUGCAGUACUUAUGCCAACAUGAAAAUAUUAUCUAGGUGGUUGAAAACCAAGAACAUCAUUUGUGCUUCAAACGCACAACAAAGAAGCCUGGCUAAGAAAUGGUCAUGUGAUGAUCUUAUUAUUGAAAAAGCUCCAUUUAUGGUUGAAAAAAAGGAGUCCAAAGGUUCUUUUGAAAUAAAAGAAUUGCCAUGUGCUUAUAUUAACAA